rnacentral:rRNA from 1 species
CCUACAGGUGGCUGCAGUGGGGAAUAUUGGACAAUGGGGGGAACCCUGAUCCAGCCAUGCCGCGUGUGUGAAGAAGGCCCUCGGGUUGUAAAGCACUUUCAGUGAGGAAGAACGCCUGGUGGUUAAUACCCAUCAGGAAAGACAUCACUCACAGAAGAAGCACCGGCUAACUCCGUGCCAGCAGCCGCGGUAAUACGGAGGGUGCGAGCGUUAAUCGGAAUUACUGGGCGUAAAGCGCGCGUAGGUGGCUUGAUAAGCCGGUUGUGAAAGCCCCGGGCUCAACCUGGGAACGGCAUCCGGAACUGUCAAGCUAGAGUGCAGGAGAGGAAGGUAGAAUUCCCGGUGUAGCGGUGAAAUGCGUAGAGAUCGGGAGGAAUACCAGUGGCGAAGGCGGCCUUCUGGACUGACACUGACACUGAGGUGCGAAAGCGUGGGUAGCAAACAGGAUUAGAUACCCCAGUAGUC